CCCUGAAACAAUUAACAUACAUUGGGCCAUACAGUCAUGUAUAAAGCAGCAUAGUGAGUUGCAUUCAUGGCUAAAGACAUAUUAGGUUAAUUAUUUUACAUAAUUAUUUUUCGUCAUUUGCCACGCAUGUAAUCGGUGAAGGAUUCAGGAUUAUCCUGCAUGGAAAUAACGUUUUAAACGUGCUAUAUACAGUAAAACGGUGUUCAAUAUUCAUACGACAUGAUGGGCAUAUGGCCAAACAAACACCUUGUGCUUUUUUGCUCAAAUUUUAUACGCACGCAUGAUUUUGUAUACAUAAUAUAGAUUUAAAUCUAGCAAUUCAAAUACAAAACUCAUGCAUGACAUCUAUCUAUAAUUUAUAUUUCCUUGAAAUGUUAAGUGAUUCAUUGUUAUUGCCGUUGUUGUAACCCAGUAAACAGACACACACCGCCGUUUAGACAUGUCACAAUCACAUGUCGUUCUUGUUCCUUUUAAUAUACAACAUACGAUGGACGAUAAAGCUUCGAAUUACUUCUCUUUAAUUUCCAGUCCGGCUUUGUCCAGUCUUUAAAAUGACUUUACAAGCGCGUGUUGAAACAGGUCAUCUGUACAAGAACCCAUAAUGUUUCGAAUCACAGCAACCACUUCGAGCACAUUUCGACUCGAUCAUGUUUACAUCAUACAUGAAAAUUGAUACAUAUGUAAUACGAGACCGAAAUAUGGUUGUAUUUUGACGAAUAUUAUCGAUAUAACGAAAUAUAAAACCCCAAUAUGUAUAAUUCCAUUAGGUGGUCUGCACAUAUUCCCUUGAUGGUGGAAAAUACAUCGAAACAAAAGAAAAAUCCAAUAUUAUCUGCUCACCAACACGUCUCCAC